GCUGAGGGACAGCCCCGCGGUUGUGGGUGUCCCGCGGCGCCGGAAACUGGGCGCACACACCCUCGGAUUGACGUGCGCACGCGCACCGGUUACCUUCAGGAGCGCCGAAGAAGGAAAGAAGAUGGAGUUGAGCUCUGUCGCCCAGGCUGGAGUGCAGUGGCACCAUCUCAGCUGACUGUGACCUCCGCCUCCUGGGUUCAAGUGAUUCUCCUGCAUCAGCCUCCCGAGUAGCUGGGACUACAGGUGCACACCACCAUGCCCGGCUAAUUUUUGUAUUUUUAGUAGAGACGGGGUUUUGCCAUGAUGGCCAGGUUUGGUCUCAAACUCCUAACCUCAAGUGAUCCACCCUCCUCAGCCUCCCAAAGUGCUGGGAUUACAGGCGUGAGCCACUGCGCCCCGCCUACUUGAAUUUUUUUUUUUUUUUUUUUUUUUGAGACAGAGUUUUGCUCCUGUUGCCCAGGCUGGAGUGCAACGGCAUGAUCUCGACUCACUGCAACCUCUGCCUCCUGGGUUCAAGUGAUUCUCCUGCCUCAGCCUCCCAAAUAGCUGGGAUUACAGGUGCCCACCACUGUGCCUGGCUGAUUGUAUUUUUAGUAGAGAUGGGGUUUCAUCAUGUUGGUCAGGCUGGUCUUGAACUCCAGACCUCAGGUGAUCGGACUGCCUCGGCCUCCCAAAGUGCUGGGAUUACAGGCAUGACCCACUGUGCCCGGACCUGCUUGAAUUUUUAUGAUGAGCAUGUUGGCAGAUCACGACUGCCAGCUCCGUGACAGCAAGAACCUUGUAUGACUUUUUCAUGAUGGAUGUUCAUCUGUGCCAUCUGUAAAUAUUGAAUAAAUAUUUGUGGAAUACAUGAAUCUAAAAGUGAAUGGAAUGAUAAAGAGGGAAAGGGUCAUGACAUCUACUACAGCAUUUGGCACAGACCCAGGUUUCCCUGGUACUGGUAAUUCCCAGCAGCUUUCUACAAUUCCAAAGGUCAGAAAUAAACUGCCAAAAAAUUUUUACUAAAUCAUGUUCUGGUCUGGGAUACAGCCCUGAAAUGCACUUUGAGCAAGAAAGACUUUGUAGAGGAGAAAAAAGGUGGACCAAUGAGGAUUGGGCUAGAACCAGAGGAAAGUGAACAUUCUUGGUUUAGAUAAAUAUCCACAACCUUCUAAGGUUUUCAUGUGUACUACAGAGAAGCUCCAGGCUCCUACAUUUCCCUGUGGGUAGUUUUAAAAAGCUACUGUAGCAAAACAGAGGCUGGUGGUGACUACGCUUAUCUUUUAGAAGAGCCAUCAUUGCAUUUCUGCAGCACAGAAUAUAUACGUGUUUUUUACUCUUAGUGGUGGAGUUUAUAUGUGACUCAUGAUGUUUAGUUGUUAAUCAUCCAAUGAUACUAAAUACUGCUUAGUUAGCUCAGUAUUCCCUUUAGGAAACCAGAUAUUGCUAAAGUCACUGUUCGACUUAAUGGGGAAAAUUCCACUAACAUCUAAAAUAUGUGAUUUAUAAUUCAAAAAUGUAAAUACUGUAUUGGUAUUACAUACUAUAAAAGGACAAUUGUCUACACAAUUACAUAACAUGCAUGUAAGGAUCAAUAUUUAAUUAAGACUAUUUUUGUAUUCUCAUUGGGAGUUAGAGCCCAAUAUUCUCAAUUGGGUGAGAAUUUCAGCCAAAUGGUCUAUCCAUUUUCUUUUCUUUCUUUCUUUUUUUUUUUUGAGACAGAUCUUGCUUUGUUGCCCAGGCUGGAGUGCAAUGGUGUGAUUUUGGCUCACUGCAACCUCCGCCUCCUGGGUUCAAGCGAUUCUCCUGUCUCAGACUCCCGAAUAGCUGGGAUUACAGGUGUGCACCACCAUGCCUGGCUAAUUUUUGUAUUUUUAGUAGAGGUGGGGUUUCACCAUGUUGGUUAGGCUGGUGUCAAACUCCUGACCUCAGGUGAUCUGCCUGCCUCGGCCUCCCAAAGUGGUGGGAUUACAGGCGUGAGCCACUGUGCCUGGCCAGUCUAUCCAUUUUCUAUUUCCCCAAAGUAACUUGUGAGAAAUGUCUUAGGCUAGAAUUUGCUUAUAUAUUUUCCAUCUUGCACAUGGUUAAAACGUGCAGUUUCCUAAACCAGUGGUUCUCGAACAUCAGUGUGCAUUAGAAUCACCUGGAGGGCUGGUUAAAACACAGAUUGCCAGGCCGUUCUCAGGGUUUCUGAUUUAGUAAGUCUGGCGGUUGGACCCGAGAAUCUGCAUUUCUAACCAGUGAUUCCCAAGUGAUGCUGAUGCUGCAGGUCUGGGGACCAAUGUCUUGAACUAACAGCUCUGAAUAAAAAUCUAAUUGGAUUCUGAAUGCCACAGAUGCAGUUUGGAGAUUGUUUUUCAAAGCAGAAUAUCCAUUUGUGGAAUAAAAAAGUUUAUCAUUGUUAUUACCUGAAGUAAUUUCUCUUUCCUUUGUGUUUUUAGAGGAGUUUUGUUGGUCGCUUUUAUCAGGCAUUAGGCCUUGUAUUACAUUCAUUUGUGCCUAUGCUUUAUCUCCUUUGUGACUGUGAGCUCUUUGAAGGACUGUGUUCAUCUUUAAAUCCUCAUUGUACCUUACAUCUUGUAGACUUCAAAUCAUUGUUUGGUAAAUUGAAUUUAGUGAUGUGUACAUGUUUUGUGCCUGCUUUCCUACAUGUAAUAAUUAUAAACAACAAAUAUCAAGUUAAGUAUGC
rnacentral:lncRNA from 10 species